UACAGAGGGGGCAAGCGUUGUUCGGAAUUACUGGGCGUAAAGGGCGCGUAGGCGGCCAACUAAGUCAGACGUGAAAUCCCCAGGCUCAACCUGGGAACUGCGUCUGAUACUGGAUGGCUCGAGUUCGGGAGAGGGAAGUGGAAUUCCCGGUGUAGCGGUGAAAUGCGUAGAUAUCUGGAGGAACACCGGUGGCGAAGGCGGCUUCCUGGACCGACACUGACGCUGAGGCGCGAAAGCCAGGGGAGCAAACGGG
rnacentral:rRNA from 1 species